rnacentral:lncRNA from 1 species
UCAUGUGGGUUUACAGUUUCUUUUCCAGUUGUGUGUAUCUAGAAAUGGUGGUACAGAGUAACCUUUGAUAAAAUCAUGCCUUGUUGUGGUGGGGAAGCCUAGGGUUUGCCAAAAUAUAAACUGUUACUUUUCUAGGUCUUAGACUUAAUACUUGAUAUUUCAAAUAAUUUGAUUGCUUGAUGAAAUGCAGUGGACCUGGUUCUGCUAUCCUCUGAGUGGUUUAGACAAUUCAGGUAAUAUUGGGAGACCCUUUGAAGAUAGAAAGGCCAGAUUUGCUUUCUAUAGUUGUUUUUUGCCCCCAGAAGAAUCUAAUACUAUAAUAGGAUUUUUCUGUUGGAAAUACUUAACUACUUAAACAUCUUCUCACUCAUCACCAUAUACAAUAGAAGAAUUUUAUAUCAACCCAAUUCAAUGUUUUUGCCCUUUGCAGUCUUUCCAUUACUAUCCUCAUAAUUAAUGUUUUGAAAUAAAAAUGUAACAUGUUUAUUCAAACUUUAAAGUCUAAAUUAAUUACCAUUUUCAACAUCUGGGUUUUGCUUGAGAAGCCAAGGAAGCUCACCAGUGGGUGCUGGUGUCAGUCCUGCAGUGGCUCAGGGCUGGACCACAGCAUCUUCACUGUCCCUAGGCACAGGAUGGGGAACGUUGUGAUGGCCACAGAGAAGUUAGUUGAUAGUUAAUCCAAGAAAGAAAUGGAAGAUUUUAUUGUAACCCAGGAGAUGGUUUUUCAGAAUGCUCUGGGGACUGUUGUGCCUGUCAGAGGUCACAGCACAGUUAUAUACAUUUGUGAGAGAGAGGGUUCUGCAUCAAAUGACAUGUUAACUGUUGAGGAAAUCUGGUUCUGCACAAACAAAGCUGUGCAGUGGGUCCUCCUGACCUUCCUCAAGAUGAAGAAGGAUGCUUCUCUCCUAAAAGAUCUGGUCAAGGCAGAUAUACAACACACAUCAAAGUGGGGGGAAGGGCAAACAAGACAGAGAAAAUAUUAUGUUCAAAUUUUUCUUUCCUUGCCAUAACAUACACAUUUUAUAUUAUCAGUGGGAGGGAGGAAAAAACACCGGCACUAUAAGUUAAUUUGCCACUAAAUCCUCAGAGUUUAUGAAUAAAGCAAAUACAGUGAAAACAUCCAACAUUGUUACAGGUUUAAGAGUAAACUUAAACGUGCUUUAAAAUAAGCAUCCUGAAGAUGUUCAAAGAAGUAAAGGAACAGUGUCCAUUAAAAAGAGUUCCCAUCGUGGUGCAGUGGAAAUGAAUCUGACUAGGAAACAUGAGGUUGAGGGUUCAUUCCCUAGCCAAGUGGGUCACAUACGGAUCUGGUGUUGCUGUGAGCCCUGGUGAAGCUCGAAGAUGCGGCUCGGAUCUGCCAUUGCUGUGGUGGUGGCAUAGGCUGGCAGCUACAGCUCCUAUUAGACCCCUAGCCUGGGAACCUCCAUAUGCCGCGGAUGAGGUCCUAAAAAGACAAAAAGAAAAAAAAAGUAUAAGGGAAAAAUUAUAAAACAAACAAAAACUUCCAGAUUCCUGUCCUCAAAGACUCUGCAUCAGGAACAGAGCUGGAAUGGGAACAUUGCCACUCCCAGCAAGUGCAGGCUGGUACCUACAAGCAGGCUGGUGAAAUGCACUGACGUGUGGAGAGAUUAACUAGAAGAUCCUCUGGGCCUGAAAUCUGGGAUCCCUGUUGCAAUAAAUGUGUGUAAGCAAACGUCAAAGGGUGUAGAACAUGCUAGCUAGUCUCAGAUGAUUCAUGUAUGGGAUAUUUGCAUAACUUAUUUUCUCUCAAACAAUCCUGUAUCGCACUUUUUUUUUCUGUAAUGAUCUCUCUUGAGAACUCAUUUUACUAAAUUAUUGAAAUCUCCCUCCCCAUUCACUUUACUGUUAAUGAAAACAUAUUGCAGCUCUUUUUGUGCUUUUCCAUAUUAAAAAACAGGAAAAGAUUCACUGAAUUGAUUACUUUUAUGAUUAGAACAUCAUUCCUCAUUCUGUGUAGAGACCUAUGUUUAUAUAUGUGAACACUGGUUUGUUAUGGGGUCUAAAUAUGGAUUUUGGUAGAAGUAUUAUCUUAGGUUUAAAAAUAAGCAUAUAAACAUACAUUUACAUAUAUGUGUAUGUGUAUAUAUGCAUGCAUGCAUGUAUGUAUGUCCAUGUGCAUAUGUGUAUAUGUCUGUGUGUUUGCAUAUAUGUGUAUGUGUGUAUGCAUGUAUGUAUAUGUGUUUAUGUAUAUGUGUAUAUGUAUCUUUAUGUAUAUGUAUCUUUGUGUAUGUAUAUGUGUGUGUAUAUGUAUGUAUUGUAUAUGUGUAUGUGUGUGUGUGCAUGAACUAUUCUCCUACUAUGUGUUCCUCAUUGACCUGGAUUUUAGAAGUCAGACACCUGAUGACGUGAUACAAGUGGAAUUAGGUAAACUCUUUGUGCUUCCAUUUUGCAGUCUAAUAGAAAUUCAAACACCUACCUUGCUUAUAUCAUGGAGUUGUUGUAAGAAUAAUAUGAAAAGUUAUUUCUAAAAGUAAAAAUUCUAAUAUAUGCUGAUGGUUUUCUUUUAGCAUAAAUAGGACUCUUAUAUGUUCAAGAAGUUGGUGAGAGGGAGUCAGGGUGAAGCCAGCAUUUCUGUUUAUGCUCAGGGAACCCCCCCCCCAUUUUCCUACCUCACAACGUGAUUGAACAUUCAUGACUCUGAUUUCAUCUCUGACAUUCAAAGCCUUGUAUUAUAAUUUUAGCCAAAGCAGAUGUUGGGUUUCUCGUGUUGCAUACCAUUUCAUUUGUCCUAUUGGGAGACUAUUUUAAUAGUUAUGAAAUGAGCAGCUUUGUGAAUAUUAGAAUGGAUUUUCCAACUCCAAAAAGAGCUGAAACUGCUGAAAUAUUCCAUUGGCUUAAUACUUAGUUGAUGCAUAUAAAAACCACCCUCUGGAAGGCUGUUUGUAAAGCAGAACAGCAGUGUGGCUUUGGGAUGGUCAGUUUUGAAAGUCUGAUUGGAGCUAAGCUGCCUGGAAUCUUUAUACCAUAUUUACAUUUAAAUUUUAAAAAUGUGCUUUCAGGCAAGUUGAUAGGUGAGUUCAUAACAGAUGAGUGUGGUGUUAUCACGUAUUAAUGUAUCUAUGCAUAGAUGUUGACAUCACCAGUAAAAAAGCCUAAGGAAGGCGCUGAACAACCACAAGCACGCAGGUGUUAGGAAAAUGUGAAACAAUGUAUCAUCAGGGAGGGCUGAUGAAGUUCCCUAAUAUACCUCAAAUGAACUCUGUGUAAAAACAGCUUGCUGAACAUGCUCUUUUCGCUGGCACUGUGGCUGUAACCAGACGAGCAGUAAUUAAGUGUGGGUCACUGAGGACAGAACAGUGGUUUUAAUGCUCCAGCCAUUUGUAUGCCAGCAAAUAAGUAAAUCAGAUGUGCUAUGUGAAGGGCAAAAAGGAAACCUUCGUGAGCCCUGAUGCACAGCAAGCUUCAUGAAGCAAACCAUUUUACAUGCCAUUUUGAAUUUUGAGAGAAAACAAAUGUGAGAAAUUUAAAGCCGAUUUUAGAUGUUGAUCCAGAGUCAAGGUACAACAAAUCUCCUUUAAGUCUUCAUUGUCUCCUACAAGUCAUCACAUAUUCCCCAACAGCAUUUACCUGUUUUCCCUUGUGUUUACUGAGCUCACAUUUUCCCUUUCUUGAUUGCUUUUCUUCUGGAAUUGAGAACACAUUUCAACAUGUGAAGUGUAUGUAUCUCAUAAUAAGGGAAUAAAGGAAAACAGUCUUAAAGACUGUUGAAGACGCUUCCAUAUGAUCAGACUUCAUAUUAAGAAUGUCUUUACUUUCUAGUUGAGCAAUUCAUGCAUUUUGGAACUUUUGUUUCUGGAUUUUAUUCAUGAUCUUUUAGGUUUCCUAGGAAAGGUCAGAUUUGAUAUUCAGAUUUUAUAGUCACUAGAUGACUUUGACCUUUGUCAAUUACAGGAUCUAAAGUAACUCAAUGUGAUGUUAUUUCACAUAAAAUUUAACUAAAGUUGAUAAUACGUUUUGUUGUUAAAAUAAACUGAUAUAACUUAGGAAAUAAUGUCCUGAAGAAGUUAAUUAUUCUCUCAAUAUUGUAUCCAAAUUCCUACCAGUGUUCACUGUAACUUACUCUGUAACUCAUCAAGGCACUGGUAAAUAUUUUGCCUAACUUUCUUGAACCCUCUUUUGAGGAAGUUGUGGCUAAC